rnacentral:lncRNA from 1 species
GGCUGAUAUUGGAUAGUCAAUGUUGUGAUUGUGUCGUAUGAUUGUGUCGCCUGAGCCCGCCCCUGCGCGGGCGACCCGCCGCGCCGGCGGAGCUCGGCCCACCGGACGGGGCCUGGGGCCGCCUCUGCACCGCCCGGGGCGGUGACCGGCCGACCGGCCGGUCGGCUGUCGGGGCUGCGGCGUCUGGGCGGGCCAGUUGGCGUUCAGACUCUGAGUGGUGUGCGUGUCCAAUAAAGCCUUAUUAAGCCACGGGAAGGUCGGCCUUGGGAAGACCAAGCUGUUCCGGGUGAUCUUCCACGCUGUCAACCUGAACCCGACGGUGACCUGCCAAGAAAAGGAUCUCGAAAAGGCCGUCGGCAAGUGGCUGACAAACUGCCGCGACCGUGACGGCCAGCGAUCAGACCGGGGGCGAGGCCGUCCGCCCGCCCAGUGACUUGUGUCUCGAUGAGCGCAGAAAGAAAUACAGGACUGUGCCUGAUGUAUGUUGUUUUUAUGGGAAUAAAGUGCUGGAAGGAAG